GGGUUGUGAGGUUAAGCGACUAAGCGUACACGGUGGAUGCCCUGGCAGUCAGAGGCGAUGAAGGGCGUGCUAAUCUGCGAUAAGCGCCGGUAAGGUGAUAUGAACCGUUAUAACCGGCGAUACCCGAAUGGGGAAACCCAGUGUGAUUCGUCACACUAUCAUUAACUGAAUCCAUAGGUUAAUGAGGCGAACCGGGGGAACUGAAACAUCUAAGUACCCCGAGGAAAAGAAAUCAACCGAGAUUCCCCCAGUAGCGGCGAGCGAACGGGGAGGAGCCCAGAGCCUGAAUCAGCAUGUGUGUUAGUGGAAGCGUCUGGAAAGGCGCGCGAUACAGGGUGACAGCCCCGUACACAAAAGCGCAUGUGCUGUGAGCUCGAUGAGUAGGGCGGGACACGUGGUAUCCUGUCUGAAUAUGGGGGGACCAUCCUCCAAGGCUAAAUACUCCUGACUGACCGAUAGUGAACCAGUACCGUGAGGGAAAGGCGAAAAGAACCCCGGCGAGGGGAGUGAAAAAGAACCUGAAACCGUGUACGUACAAGCAGUGGGAGCCCCACCACUAAGCCAGUGGUGAACUCCACAUACGCAUCCUUUGCUGAGGAUACGGUUAACGGAGCGAAAGCGACGUUCAACCUCAAAAGAAGCAGAGGGGGCUUAGUGGUGGGGUGACUGCGUACCUUUUGUAUAAUGGGUCAGCGACUUAUAUUCUGUAGCAAGGUUAACCGAAUAGGGGAGCCGGAGGGAAACCGAGUCUUAAUUGGGCGUUAAGUUGCAGGGUAUAGACCCGAAACCCGGUGAUCUAGCCAUGGGCAGGUUGAAGGUUGGGUAACACUAACUGGAGGACCGAACCGACUAAUGUUGAAAAAUUAGCGGAU
rnacentral:rRNA from 1 species